UCGUCAUCCCCUACCAAUGGCUUCCUCCAUCCAAUGCUCACUUCUCUUGUCACUCUUCUUCUUCGCCACCGUAGCUCCCUCUUUCCAGCAAUCCUUUCGCCCCAAGGCCCUCGUGCUGCCGGUCUCGAAAGAUGCUUCUUCCCUCCAAUACCUAACACGGAUCUCCCAAAGGACCCCCCUAGUCCCCGUCGACCUCGUCGUUGACCUCGGUGGCCAGUUCCUCUGGGUCGACUGCGAGCAGAACUACGUCUCCUCGACGUACCUCCCUGCCCGUUGUGGCUCGGCCGUGUGCUCACUGGCCCGUGCCAGCGGGUGUGGCGAUUGCUUCUCUGCCGCCAGGCCCGGCUGCAACAACAACACGUGUGGCGUCACCCCGGAUAACACCGUCACGGGCACCGCCACUGGAGGGGAGGUGGCGACCGACUUAGUUUCGGUAAACUCCACCGAUGGGUCCAACCCAGGCCAGGCCGUCAAUGUUACCCGGUUCGUCUUUGCUUGCGCCCCAAGCUUUCUCUUGGAUGGCCUGGCUAGCGGCGUCCAAGGAAUGGCUGGCCUAGGAAGGACCAGGAUCGCUCUGCCCUCCCAGUUCGCCUCUGCCUUCAGCUUCAACCGGAAAUUUGCCAUCUGCCUCUCGUCAUCGCCCUCUUCCAACGGCGUGAUCUUCUUUGGCGACAGCCCCUACAAUUUCCUCCCUAACAUUAACGUUUCGCAAUCACUCGCUUACACACCACUAUACAUCAACCCCGUGAGCACGGCCUCGGCGUACUCUCAGGGCGAGCCCUCAUCCGAGUACUUCAUUAAAGUGACUGCCAUCACAGUCGGCGACAUAACCCUAUCCCUAAACUCGACCCUACUCAAUCGACAGCGAAGGCUAUGGCGGCACCAAGAUCAGCACCGUCAAUCCAUACACCGUCCUUGAGUCCUCCAUAUAUGCCUCGCUCACUGAGGCCUUCGUCAAGGAAGCCACGUCGAUAAACAUCACUAGGGUAUCGGCUGUAUCACCGUUCGAGUACUGCUUCAAUUCGUCGAGCAUAGGGGGCACGCGUGUUGGGGCAGCGGUGCCGUAUAUCUUCUUGGUCUUGCAGGGCGAAGAGGCGGUGUGGACGAUCACAGGGUCAAACUCGAUGGUGGAGGUGAGCCAGGAUGUGCUGUGCCUGGGGUUCGUGGACGGAGGUUCGAGGCCGAGGACGUCGAUCGUGAUCGGAGGGUACCAGUUGCAGGACAAUUUGGUGCAGUUCGACCUGGCGAGGUCGAGGCUAGGAUUUAGCUCGACUCUGCUCGGAAGGCAGACUACGUGCGCCAACUUUAACUUCACCAGCAAUGCAUGAAAAUUACCAUGAGUUGUAUUAGUUCGCGCAUCAUAUUGCACGCGAUUUAAAUUUUCUACUUGGAAUAAGUGGCCUCGGGAAAUAUAAUUUGCAAUAAAUUGGCCCGGAAAUGUUUUCUUGUUUUCUUUUUCUUUUUCUUUUUCUUUUUUAAAUGGGUGAGAUCACUCUUGUAAAGAUACUUGAACAUCAAAGAAUGAAAAACUUAUAAUAUGAAUAA